rnacentral:rRNA from 1 species
AGUGAACGCUGGCGGUAGGCCUAACACAUGCAAGUCGAACGGCAGCACAGUAAGAGCUUGCUCUUACGGGUGGCGAGUGGCGGACGAGUGAGGAAUACAUCGGAAUCUACUUUUUCGUGGGGGAUAACGUAGGGAAACUUACGCUAAUACCGCAUACGACCUACGGGUGAAAGCAGGGGAUCUUCGGACCUUGCGCGAUUGAAUGAGCCGAUGUCGGAUUAGCUAGUUGGCGGGGUAAAGGCCCACCAAGGCGACGAUCCGUAGCUGGUCUGAGAGGAUGAUCAGCCACACUGGAACUGAGACACGGUCCAGACCCCUACGGGAGGCAGCAGUGGGGAAUAUUGGACAAUGGGCGAAAGCCUGAUCCAGCCAUACCGCGUGGGUGAAGAAGGCCUUCGGGUUGUAAAGCCCUUUUGUUGGGAAAGAAAAGCAGCAGGUUAAUACCCCGCUGUUCUGACGGUACCCAAAGAAUAAGCACCGGCUAACUUCGUG